rnacentral:rRNA from 1 species
CGGGAAACUGGGGAUAAUACCCCAUAGAUCAGGGAUGCUGGAAUGCCCCCUGAUUCAAAGGUCCGCCGCCUGAGGAUGGGUCUGCGGCCGAUUAGGUUGUUGUUGGGGUAACGGCCCAACAAGCCAUUGAUCGGUACGGGUUGUGAGAGCAAGAGCCCGGAGAUGGAUUCUGAGACACGAAUCCAGGCCCUACGGGGCGCAGCAGGCGCGAAAACUUUACAAUGCGAGAAAUCGUGAUAAGGGAACCCCGAGUGCCCGUAAAUUCGGGCUGUCCAUCAGUGUAAAUAACUGGUGAAGAAAGGGCCGGGCAAGACCGGUGCCAGCCGCCGCGGUAAUA